rnacentral:rRNA from 1 species
ACAGGUAGUAACAGAGAGUUCGAUUCUGGCUCAGAUUGAACGCUGGCGGAAUGCUUUACAUGCAAGUCCGAACGGCAGCACGGACUUCGGUCUGGUGGCGAGUGGCGAACAGGUGAGUAAUGUAUCGGAACGUGCCCGUAGCGGGGAUAACUACGCGAAAGCGUAGCUAAUACUGCACAUACGCCCUUCCGGGGAAAGCAGGGGACCUUCGGGCCUCGCACUAUUAGAGCGGCCGAUAUCGGAUUAGCUAGUUGGUGGGAGGUAACGGCUCACCAAGGCGACGAUCCGUAGCUGGUUUGAGGAGGACGACCAGCCACACUGGGACUGAGACACGGCCCAGACUCCUGCAGGAGGCAGCAGUGGGGAAUUUUGGACAAUGGAGAGCCCUGAUCCAGCCAUCCCGCGUGUGCGAUGAAGGCUAUUCGGGUUGUAAAAGCACUUUUGGCAGGAAAGAAACGGCACGGGAUAAUGCCCCAGUACAACUGACGGCCACCUGCAGAAUAAGCACCGGCUAACUACGUGCCAGCAACCGCGGUAAUACGUAGGGUGCAAGCGUUAAUCGGAAUUACUGGGCGUAAAGCGUGCGCAGGCGGUUCGGAAGAAAGAUGUGAAAUCCCAGAGCCUUAACUUUGGAACUGCAUUUUUAACUACCGAGCUAGAGUAUGUCAGAGGAGGUGGAAUUCCGCGUGUAGCAGUGAAAUGUAGAUAUGCGGAGGAACACCGAUGGCGAGAGCAGCCUCCUGGGAUAACACUGACGCUCAUGCACGAAAAAGCGUGGGGAGCAAACAGGAUUAGAUACCCUGGUAGUCCACGCCCUAAACGUCAACUAGCUGUUGGGGCCUUCGGGCCUUGGUAGCGCAGCUAACGCGUGAAGUUUGACCGCCUGGGGAGGCCACGGUCGCAAGAUUAAAACUCAAAGGAAUUGGCGGGGACCCGCACAAGCGGUGGAUGAUGUGGAUUAAUUCGAUGCAACACGAAAAACCUUACCUACCCUUGACAUAUUCUGGAAUCCCGAAGAGAUUUGGGAGUGCUCGCAAAGAGAACCGGAACACAGGUGCUGCAUGGCUGUCGUCAGCUCGUGUCGUGAGAUGUUGGGUUAAGUCCCGCAACGAGCGCAACCACUUGUCAUUAGUUGCUACGAAAGGGCACUCUAAUGAGACUGCCGGUGACAAACCGGAGGAGAGGUGAGGAUGACGUCAAGUCUCUAUGGCCCUUAUGGGUAGGGCUUCACGUCAUACAAUGGUCGGGACAGAGGGUCGCCAACCCGCGAGGGGAGCCAAUCCCAGAAACCCGAUCGUAGUCCGGAUCGCAGUCUGCAACUCGACUGCGUGAAGUCGGAAUCGCUAGUAAUCACGCGGGAUCAGCAUGUCGCGGUGAAUACGUUCCCGGGUCUUGUACACACCGCCCGUCACACCAUGGGAGUGGGUUUUACCAGAAGUGGUGCCACUAACCGUAAGGAGGGCGAUUACCACGGUAGGAUUCAUGACUGGGGCGAAGUCGUAACAGGUAG